rnacentral:rRNA from 1 species
AGAGUUUGAUCCUGGCUCAGGACGAACGCUGGCGGCGUGCCUAACACAUGCAAGUCGAGCGGGAACCUCAGGAGGGGUAACCCUUCUGAGGGGAGAGCGGCGAACGGGUGAGUAACACGUGGGCAACCUGCCCCGGACACCGGGAUAACCCAGGGAAACCUGAGCUAAUACCGGAUACUCCGGCGUGAUCGCAUGGUCGCGUCGGGAAAGCUCCGACGGUCCGGGAUGGGCCCGCGGCCUAUCAGCUUGUUGGUGAGGUAAUGGCUCACCAAGGCGACGAUCGGUAUCCGGCCUGAGAGGGCGGACGGACACACUGGGACUGAGACACGGCCCAGACUCCUACGGGAGGCAACAGUGGGGAAUUGUUCGCAAUGGGCGCAAGCCUGACGACGCAACGCCGCGUGGAGGAUGAAGAUCUUCGGGUCGUAAACUCCUUUCGAUCGGGAAGAACGUUUUCGGGGUGAAUAAUCCCGAGAAGUGACGGUACCGAGAGAAGAAGCCCCGGCUAACUCCGUGCCAGCCGCCGCGGUAAUUC